UACGGAGGGUGCAAGCGUUGUCCGGAUUUAUUGGGUUUAAAGGGUGCGUAGGCGGCUUUUUAAGUCAGCGGUGAAAGACAACAGCUCAACUGUUGCAGUGCCAUUGAUACUGAAGAGCUUGAGUGCAGAUGAGGUAGGCGGAAUUUAUGGUGUAGCGGUGAAAUGCAUAGAUACCAUAAAGAACACCUAUUGCGAAGGCAGCUUACUAAGCUGUAACUGACGCUGAGGCACGAAAGUGUGGGGAUCAAACAGG
rnacentral:rRNA from 1 species